rnacentral:snoRNA from 8 species
AAGACUAUACUUUCAGGGAUCAUUUCUAUAGUUCGUUACUUGAGAAAUGUGUGUCUAAAGUGGUAGGUCUUGCUAUCCAUGAUGACGAUUCAAGAUAUUCCCGUUCAGAGCAUAAAUCUGGUGGCUAGAUAUGACUUUUGCUCAUGUUUCUUCCACCCUUUGAUGAUCUUUCCUUUGUUCUUCAAUGAAACAUGGAAGAAGGGAAUAUGUUUCUGAGUGGA